rnacentral:rRNA from 1 species
GACGAAGGGGGCUAGCGUUGUUCGGAAUUACUGGGCGUAAAGCGAGUGUAGGCGGUUUGUUAAGUCUGGCGUGAAAGCUCUCGGCUAAACCGGGAGAGGUCGUUGGAUACUGGCAAACUAGAGGACGGUAGAGGCGUGUGGAAUUCCUGGUGUAGCGGUGAAAUGCGCAGAUAUCAGGAGGAACACCGGUGGCGAAGGCGGGUCUCUGGGCCGAUACUGACGCUGAGGAGCGAAAGCGUGGGGAGCGAACAGG